rnacentral:rRNA from 1 species
AGUGAACGCUGGCGGCGGGCCUAACACAUGCAAGUCGAACGGCAGCACAGUAAGAGCUUGCUCUUACGGGUGGCGAGUGGCGGACGGGUGAGGCAUACAUCGCAAUCUUCUUUUACGUGGGGGACAUCGUAGGGAAACAGACGCUAACACCGCAUACGUCCUACGGGUUAAAGCAGGGGAUCUUCGGGCUUUGCGCGACUCAUUGAGACGAAGUCGGAUUAGCUGGUCGGCGGGGUAAAGGCCCACCAAGGCGACGAUCCGUAGCGGGUCUGAGAGGAUGGUCGCCCACACUGGAACUGAGACACGGUCCAGACUCCUACGGGAGGCAGCAGUGGGGAAUAUUGGACAAUGGGCGCAAGCCUGAUGCAGCCAUACCGCGUGGGUGAAGAAGGCCUUCGGGUUGUAAAGCCCUUUUGUUGGGAAAGAAAAGCAGCAGGUUAAUACCCCGCUGUUCUGACGGUACCCAAAGAAUAAGCACCGGCUAACUUCGUG